GACGAGGUGGAAGUGGUUAAGGCGAUGGACUGUUAAUCCAUUGUGCUUUGUACGCGGCGGUUCGAUCCCAUCCUCGUCG
rnacentral:tRNA from 1 species